rnacentral:lncRNA from 1 species
AGCCUAACGAUGCUGAGCCUCAAUCCUGCUUUUGCUGGAGAGCAGUGGCAGGAGGGUUUGCUGGCCAGCUAGAGAGGAACACAUGUGUGAUCCAAGCAUCAGGGACUUUCCCCCUGUUGUUUGUUGGGCAUUUGAAUCAAGUAGCUGCUAAAAAUACAGCUGCAGCCUCCCUCCACCGAGUCAUCACUCCAUGGGGACAGACAAACCAUCCUUGCUGGCAGUCCUAUGGUCUUUGGGGACGACAGAGGCAGGCAUGGGGCAGAGCUGUCCCCUCCUGUGCCCCAGUCACUCCCCACCUGCAUCCUCUUCCUCUCUCCUUUCGUACAGGUGUAGAUGUAAGGCUGAGUGUCAGCACCAGAAAAUGAAACCAGACCUGCUGGGGCAGUGGUUUCUGGGUGAUUCCCAGCAUCCAAGCUGACUGCCAGCUUUGAAUCCGUGAAUCAUUGGAUUCAUCUUUGCAUCAGCUAACACUCCUUCGCUGCAUUUUUUGUGGUCGGAUGCCGGAUGCCUCUCACAUCACUCUGUGCUGUUAACUCUGGCAGCCUACCCUAUGAUCCUAAUGAAGAAUGAGAUCGAGCUUGUUUGAGAUUGAUUCUUCCUGAAAAUGACGUUGACUGGUGUUAGCAGUACGUUACUGCCUCUCCAACCUUUACCAGUUGAAUUGUCUACCAGCACUCUGAUUACCGUGUCCAGGGUGGCCACCAUGGCAGCGGUGACCAAGCUCGUCAGAUCUGUCUUUUUUAGUGUCGGUUUAAUCCCCACACUCAUCGCGCACCUGGGGAUUUCGCCGGCACUCCAUGAUUUAUUAAAACAGAAAGCAAUGCAAAUGGGGAAGGAAGCUGCAAAAUGCAGCCUGGUGAAAGCCUCUUCCCCUGCCAGCAGACUGAACUCGCCCCGUUUCCUCAGCAGCACCAAAACAGCCGGAUCCUCGCUGUCAGCCAGCCUGACGCUUUCCUCGCCUUCCGCUCCGACAAGCCAGGCACAUGCACCUCUCUGCCACGUCUGGGCUGUUCGUCACGUCUCCGUGUAAUUGCCACUUGUGUGUGUGCAGUGUUCUCGGUAGCCUGAGGGGCUCCCCCAUCCUUGUAGCUGCUCUUCUCUGAUCACCCCUGAUUUGUUGCACACCCUGACUGUGUAUUAGUGCUCCUCCAGCUCCCGCAGGUGAACUCACGGUGUCUUUUACAGCAUAGUGCCAGGUGAACGAUGCUAUUACAGAAGCGUUCCCUGGAGAUCUUCCCUUCUUUAUGGCUGUCAUCCCAAGAGCCACAGAGGUCUGCCUGGCUGCUGCUGUCCUCCUGGACUCCUCUGUUAUUUUCCAGAGCUUGUUGAAAUAGCCUCAGUGGUGUUUGCUUGUUUGUUUUGUGAAAGGAGUCAGGUCUGAAGCCCCUGUGUCGUGUUUUUCCAUCUGCAGCUCAUCUCCAUGAAAACCCAGCCUGACCCUGAAGCAAGCAUCGGCUCCUUAUUCCUUAUUCAUUGGCUCCUUAUUCCUUGCAUACCUGGAGGUUUGUGGCCCAGGCUGCAUUUGUGUGUGGCUGGAACAGUUUUUGGAGGAGCCCAGAGCCCGGUUCUUGUUUCUGGGCCCCUGGUUGUCUGAAAUCCUUGGAGUAGCACAGGCAUNNNNNNNNNNGGUAGCCUGAGGGGCUCCCCCAUCCUUGUAGCUGCUCUUCUCUGAUCACCCCUGAUUUGUUGCACACCCUGACUGUGUAUUAGUGCUCCUCCAGCUCCCGCAGGUGAACUCACGGUGUCUUUUACAGCAUAGUGCCAGGUGAACGAUGCUAUUACAGAAGCGUUCCCUGGAGAUCUUCCCUUCUUUAUGGCUGUCAUCCCAAGAGCCACAGAGGUCUGCCUGGCUGCUGCUGUCCUCCUGGACUCCUCCGUUAUUUUCCAGAGCUUGUUGAAAUAGCCUCAGUGGUGUUUGCUUGUUUGUUUUGUGAAAGGAGUCAGGUCUGAAGCCCUGUGUCGUGUUUUUCCAUCUGCAGCUCAUCUCCAUGAAAACCCAGCCUGACCCUGAAGCAAGCAUCGGCUCCUUAUUCCUUAUUCCUUAUUCAUCGGCUCCUUAUUCCUUGCAUACCUGGUGGUUUGUGGCCCAGGCUGCAUUUGUGUGUGGCUGGAACAGUUUUUGGAGGAGCCCAGAGUCCCGGUUCUUGUUUCUGGGCCCCUGGUUGUCUGAAAUCCUUGGAGUAGCACAGGCAUAUUGCUCUCAGACACCACACUAAAACCCCACUGUGUCCUUUCUUUUAAUUCUGCUUAAAAAAGUGAUCUCCUUUGCCUGACACGAGCUGUCUUUCCAAAACCCCAUCAGCUUUCCGCUGGCCAGCUGUGGGGCCACCCCAAAGCAGGAGGCCUGGCCGUGGCUGGCCUUGCUCCUGUCUCCCCACUGCCCUACACGUGUGUGCCUGCGUGAGGGUGCCGCAGCCCUUUCCGCCUCCUCAGUGCCCAUCAGAGUUGUCGUUCCCAGUUUGCAGAAGUGAGAAAAUCAGAAUCCAUCUGUUCCAGUGCAAAAACUGGGCAAAAACAACAGAAAACAGCGCUUUCCGCACAGCGCCUCGGGUGUUUUGGC